UGCAGCUCCGCACAGUUGAGGGCUUAGAUAUAUUGUUGAUGGGAGUUUUUCCUUCCCUCAGAAGCAUCAAGGAUAGGCCACUCGCAGAGGCCAAUCUUGGACUUGAUGCAGUCCGGAAUCAAAUCCGACAGAGCCUGUAGGAUACACAAACCAACUGGAACGCCAGGGGAGCGACAGUUAUGCCUGAUGCCCAGGGCUUGAUUCUCAGUUUGCUUAAGCUAGUUUGACACCAGCUGUUUUGCUCCAUUGACGUCAGCGGUGCUGCUCCUGAUGUAGACCAGGAGAGAAGCAAACUCCUCAUUCAUCACCAUAACCCAAAUGCUAUUUUCGUAGUCCGGACGUGUGGGGUGAAUUGUAACAGCCCAUCCUUUAUCCGAGGAUUCACAGCCAAGCAGGCUAAAGCGGCACAGUAGCUGGAUGUUCUGGUGCAGUGGUUGGUACUGAAAAGGAUUUGCUUCUCGGCUGGAUGCUAUUUAAUAUUUAGUGAUCUAGAAGAAAACAUAAAAUCAUCGCUGAUAAAGUUUGCAGAUGAUGCAAAAAUUGGGGGAGUGGUAAAUAAUGAAGAGGACAAGUGGCUGAUCCUGAGUGAUCUGGAUCCGUAGGAUUCCACAGCGGUUGGUGUAAUCAAACGCUCCAAAGGGGAGAGGAAAGAAAGGGAAAAGUCAACAGCAAAGCACGUUAACCGAGUGAGAAGGAUCAGCUUGAGAGGAACUACAGAAGUGGUAAAUGCAACAAAACGCUGAAGUGACUGUGAUGUUUCUUAGUACAGAAUAAGAGCCUGAUUCAUCGGAGUGCUCAAGAAAUAGAUGAAUAGACUUUAAAGUCAGAAAGGACCACUAUUUCAUCCAUGGAAUUUCAUGGAUGGAAUUAUUCUUCUCUGCUGCCUAAGUGGAAGAAAGCAGGACUAAAUAUCUGGAAGCAUGGUACCUUUACUGCUCCUCUGAUACAAACCCUUCAACUGUGAACAGUUUGGUGGGCCAAGUUUACCUAUGCCUGUGUAAAUAAUGGCACAUGUAAGUUGCAAAUGUGAGCAUUCAUGUUCACAUUUCUGUCUGGCAAGAGAACAAAAGACAGUUCCUCUCACCAGAUUAUUUCUGUUGGAAGCAGGAUAAAUCUACAUGGGCGAAGGCCCUUGGGCCAGUGCAUCACCAUAAGGAGUAUAUGAAGAACAUAGGACCCUGAGUUUGGAAAUUGAAAAGUGGCCAACUCCUUACAAGGCAACCCUUACAGGAGUGAAAGAAAUUUUGUUUGCAAACCAUGCAUCCCAUCUCCAUCUCACUGGGGCUGCCUCUCUCUGGCUCCACCUCUGUUCUUGUUGGCUUGAGCAUUGUCAAUGCUAUGAGCACUAUAGCAGCAUACCUACGUUGCCAUAGCCAGGCCAGAAAAGCCCUAUAGUGUAGACGCAGCCUACUGCAACAGAAGGGUCUUUUCCAUGUCUGUAGGAACAGUACCUCCCUGAGUGAUGGUAGCUAGGUCGACAGAAACACUCUUCCAUUGACCUACGUGUGUCUACACUUGAGGUUAGGUUUGCAUAGGUACCAUGUUCAGGGGUGUGGAUUUUUCAUACACUUGAGCCCUGUAGUUAUGUCGACCUGAAUUUUAAGUGCAGAUGAGGCCUUUGUCUGCAUCUGUUCUUCAGGCCUGCCAUUGGCUUCCAAUAGAGCUGGCUGAAAUGUUUUCAUUGAAAAUAAGGGAGUGAAGGAUUUGCAGGCAGCUCUGCUGGUUGUAAUAGGGCUGUAGGCUGCUGGUCAUAUACUUCAUUCUUGUCUAGGAUUCAUCAGCAGGCAUGCUCCACCUGCGUAACCGGAAACGCCUGCAGGGGAUGUCAUGUUCCUUGGUGCCCUGUCUGAAAUGGAGGUGUUAUGCACUGACUACAGCAUAGGGCUAAAAUACACAACAGAGCGCUGGACUGCAGAAGGGAUUGGAUCUUGAGUCCCUUCCCAAAAACCAGAGCCAUCCAAUCCUCCAAAGAAUCCAUUUGUUAAAAUAGCAUGAGAACAACUAACUAGCUAAAAGUUCCAUUGUUGCACGUAGUGUAGUUGUAGCUAUGUUGGUCCCAGGAUAUUAGAGAGACAAGGUGGGUGAAGUAAUAUCUUUUGGUCCAAUAAAAAAUAUUACCUCAGCCACUUUGUCUAGCUAAAAUUUCCUCUGCCAUAGACUUGUUCUUGACCAGGUCUGCUAUUUGCACUUACUUUGUAUUGAUAAGAUGGUUAGGUAGUCAUUGCUUUAAGUAAGAAUUCUCUUGAAAAAUGUGGUUUUGUUCUAUCAGCUGGAAAGGAUUAAAUCAUGAACUGUGUUGGGAAUUAACCUCCAAGGAAAGGACAAAUCCAUUAGGAAUGUAACCAGAUGGAAAUAAAUUAAUGCCAGUCAAAUUUACAAGGAUUACGUUACCGGCAACCAGGUCUGAGUCCACUGAAAUGACCAGUUUCUUUUUUCUGUUUUGGGGUUGAGUUAAGAGCUCUCACUUCUCUGCCACUGGGCUUGUAAAAUCUAAAAUCCCU